UUGUUCAGGUUUAUGCAAAAAUGUGGUCUUUCAUCGUCGCGUGCGUAUUGUAUUUUUGCUCAACCAGCCAAUAGCAACGGUUUUGUCCAAUUGCCCAUCCAUGACUUUAACAAUAGGACAUUUUGAACAUUCCUAUUGGUUGAGUUGCGAAAAACACAAUACGCACCGACGCACGUGACGAUGAAAGACCACAUUUUUGCAUAAACCUGAACUAAAACAUAGAUAGUGAGGUUUAUUGUAAUGCUAAUAAGUUUCCAAACCAUCUCCUCUAUUAACUAUGCUUUUAUGUAGUCUCGUAGCUUGGCCAAGUUGUGAAAGCUCGCACUUGAAAAUCUUUCACUCUCGCGCGUGGUGCUCGGGCGUGCAUAUACGAGUCCGCGGGCCACCAGCGAGCGUGAAAGAUUUUCAAGCGCGAGCUUUCAUGACUUGUGCAAGCUAUGAGCCAAAUCGAG